rfam:Hordeum vulgare subsp. vulgare, WGS project CAJW01000000 data, contig: morex_contig_6334
AAACUACUGCCUCCGUCCCAAAAUUCUUGUCUUAGGUUUGUCUAGAAAUGAAUGUAUGAAAAUACUAAAACAUGACUGGAUACAUUCAUCUUUAAGCAAAUCUAAGACAAGAAUUUUGAGACGCAGGGAGUAUGAA